rnacentral:tRNA from 1 species
GCCGCGGUGGCUGAGUGAUAAAGCGCUUGAACUUCCGAACAAGGGGUCCCGGGUUCGAAUCCUGGCGAUGACC